CGACUCUUGACAAUGGAUAUCCUGGCUCUCGUAUCAAUG
rnacentral:rRNA from 1 species